rnacentral:rRNA from 1 species
GAAAGUAAAAAAGGGCGCAUGGCGGAUGCCUUGGCUCUCGGAGGCGAUGAAGGACGUGAUAAGCUGCGAUAAGCUUCGGGUAGGUGCAAAUAACCUUUGAUCCGAAGAUUUCCGAAUGGGACAACCCGACAUUCUGAAGGAAUGUCAUCCUGCUCUGCAGGAGGCUAACGCAGGGAACUGAAACAUCUUAGUACCUGCAGGAAAAGAAAAUAAACAAUGAUUCCCCCAGUAGUGGCGAGCGAACGGGGAACAGCCCAAACCAUCCAUGUUACGGCAUGGGUGGGGUUGUAGGACUACGCCGUUGCAUGAAGACAUCAGAGAAGAACUUUCUGGAAAGAAAGACCAUAGAGCAUGACAGUUGCGUAUUCGAAUGUUGUCGAAGCAUAGUAGUAUCCUGAGUAGCGCGGAGCACGAGGAAUUCUGCGUGAAUCUGCCGGGACCAUCCGGUAAGGCUAAAUACUCCCGAGAGACCGAUAGCGAACCAGUACCGUGAGGGAAAGGUGAAAAGCACUUCGAACAGAAGAGUGAAAUAGUUCCUGAAACCGUGCGCCUACAAGCGGUCGGAGCUCGUUAAUGAGUGACGGCGUGCCUUUUGCAUAAUGAACCUACGAGUUGCCUUUGCCGGCAAGGUUAAGUGUGACGACACACGUAUCCGAAGCGAAAGCGAGUCUGAAGAGGGCGUAUAGUCGGCAGUGGCAGACGCGAAACCAAGUGAUCUACCCUUGGCCAGGUUGAAGGCUGGGUAACACCAGCUGGAGGACCGCACCAAUAAGCGUUGAAAAGCUUCUGGAUGAGCUGAGGGUAGGGGUGAAAGGCUAAUCAAACUUGGAGAUAGCUCGUACUCCCCGAAAUGCAUUUAGGUGCAGCCUUGAGAGUUACUAAUGUGAGGUAGAGCGACUGAUAAGAUGCGAGGGCUUCACCGCCUAUCAAGUCUUGACAAACUCCGAAUGCGCAUCAGUUCUACCGCAGGAGUGAGGGCAUGGGUGCUAAGGUCCGUGCCCGAGAGGAGAAGAAUCCGGACCACCUGCUAAGGUCCCGAAAUGACAGCUAAGUUAAACUAACGAAGUCUGACUGCUAAGACAGCUAGGAUGUUGGCUUGGAAGCAGCCAUUCAUUUAAAGAGUGCGUAACAGCUCACUAGUCGAGGAGUCGGGCGUGGAUAAUAAUCGGGUAUGAAGUUGUCUACCGAAGCAGUGGGAUCAUUUAUAUGAUCGGUAGGGGAGCAUUCCAGUCGGCGUCGAAGGCGUACCGUGAGGUAUUCUGGAGCGUCUGGAAAAGCAAAUGUAGGUAUAAGUAACGAUAAAGGGGGCGGGAAACCCCCUCGCCGAAAGACUAAGGUUUCCUGAUCAACGCUAAUCGGAUCAGGGUCAGUCGGGUCCUAAGGCUCAGCCGAACGGCGAUGCCGAUGGCAGAAACGGUUAAUAUUCCGUUACUACCUUCAGGAGUGACGUGGAGACGCAGUAGUGACAGUGCCGCCAUCUGACGGAAUAGAUGGUUGAAGGGUGUAGGAGUCGAUCAUGGCAGGCAAAUCCACCAUGAGAUCCGAACCUGAUAGUAUGCCGCGUCCUUCGGGACAAGGCAAUAGUGCGCGUAAGCAUGCUGCCGAGAAAAUCCGCUAAACUUAAUCCUGCAGGUACCCGUACCGCAAACGGACACACGUAGUCGGGAUGAAUAUUCUAAGGCGCUUGAGUGAUUCACGGUUAAGGAACUAGGCAAACUGACCCUGUAACUUCGGGAUAAAGGGUCCCUACCCUUUUAUGGGAGGGCGCAGAGAAUCGGUCCAGGCAACUGUUUAACAAAAACACAGGGCUGUGCCAAAUCGAAAGAUCCAGUAUACAGCCUGACACCUGCCCGGUGCUGGAAGGUUAAGAGGAGAUGUCAUCAAUAAGAGAAGCGUUGAAUUGAAGCCCCAGUAAACGGCGGCCGUAACUAUAACGGUCCUAAGGUAGCGAAAUUCCUUGUCGGGU